CAAAGAGGGAGGGAGGUAGGGAGCGUCGUCGGCGCGAGGCGGAGGGCGAGGGGACGUGCGGCAGAGGCAGGGGCGGCGGCGGGCAGUGGUACUAGUAGAGGUUCUUCUUGGCGGCGCUCUAGACGUUCAUGGAGAAGGUCCUCCCUCAGAACAUGCGGUUCUUCCUGAUGUUGGACCGGUUCGUGGGGGUCCAGCUACGGAGCUUGGACCUCCAGUAGUUCGAGUACGUCUCGAAGUUCAGGUUCCUCAUGCAGUCCCUCUGGAAGAGCACCGUCGUGAUGAUGACCAUGGACUGGUUGCUGCCGUAACUCAAGGAUGCGUGGAAGGAGUUGGACGGCAGACUCUAACACGGGUUGUGGGAGUUCUUCAGGCGGUUCGGGGGCAGGGCGGGGAAGCCGAGACCGGGUGGCCCACUGGCGGGGUCCCCAGGAGGAGCAAAACUCCCACUGUCCGGGUCCAUACCACUGUCCCUACCAAUGUCUCCUCCGGGUGCACCACGAGGUCCCCUAAAACGACCACUCUUCCCACCUCGAGGACGACUCAUGGUCGGUCGAAAGUCCCCACGACCACCACGACGGUCCGGGAAACCGGCACCUCCGCCGCCGCCGUGAAAACCAAGACCUCGAUGGUACCUCACUUCUUCGCUGAGAAGUCGUUCACCCUCGUGGGUUGUCCAGAAGUCUAGGUUACGCGCGCACCCCACGACAGGAGAGACAACUACAAACUUAAGACGUUUGUGACGCUACUAAAACAAAUAGCUCUAACAUCGAAUUCUGGUACCAAAUACCCAAGCAAACACAAUCUUACUCGAGAAACUAUAAUUCUGUCUACAACCAGCUGACUCUUAGAUUUCUACCAGUUGAACGAUAAAUUAGAACAAAGGACACGACACAAAUUCUCAACGAACUACAACGAAGACCGAACCCUUGUAGAAGGUAAAGGAAAACUAAAGACCUUACAGGGUCUAAUCGGAUCUCGAGAACGAAUUGCUUUACCACUUAUGUUUCCCU
rnacentral:rRNA from 1 species